GAUAGAUAAUACUGCUAUUGCCAAUCCUCUCUGUCAUGUAAUCCAUAUUCCAGAGAGGAUUGGCAAUAGCAGUAUUAUCUAUC